CCCUGCUCAUGUCUCCCACAGGCAAAAUUCAUCCAGAAAUCAAGAACAAAAGAGCCUGGGUGGCCAGUCUACAGAGGCCAACUUUCAGGAAAAAGAAUCAGGGCAAAGAAGGGCAGCAAGAACUGGAAAGUCGAGUGAAGAAUUCAGCAGCAAAGAGGAGAGGAAAGGGGGACAAUGAGAAUGGGGACAUGAAGGAGGAGUGAAGGGCACUACAACCAAAUCUUGAUAAGUAUUGGCCCUUAGCACAGACUGAACAUAGGUUGAAAAGGAGAAGGUAUUUUUCCUCUUGGGUAUUUAUGAAAUACAAGCAGAUUAAUACACUUGUUUGGAUUGUCAUUUGCUUAUUUAGAUAAAUUACUUCUUUUGUGUAUUAAUAAUAUUCAUAAUAACAACAUAAAAAUAACUUUACAACAUUUUCAUUUUUAGCCUAAAUGUUACUCAUUUCUCAAAAUGGUUUUGUAAUUUAGUAAAAAG
rnacentral:lncRNA from 1 species